GAUGAACGCUGGCGGCGUGCCUAAUACAUGCCAGUCGAGCGAACGGACGAGAAGCUUGCUUCUCUGAUGUUAGCGGCGGACGGGUGAGUAACACGUGGAUAACCUACCUAUAAGACUGGGAUAACUUCGGGAAACCGUAGCUAAUACCGGAUAAUAUUUUGAACCGCAUGGUUCAAAAGUGAAAGACGGUCUUGCUGUCACUUAUAGAUGGAUCCGCGCUGCAUUAGCUAGUUGGUAAGGUAACGGCUUACCAAGGCAACGAUGCAUAGCCAACCUGAGAGGGUGAUCGGCCACACUGGAACUGAGACACGGUCCAGACUCCUACGGGAGGCAGCAGUAGGGAAUCUUCCGCAAUGGGCGAAAGCCUGACGGAGCAACGCCGCGUGAGUGAUGAAGGUCUUCGGAUCGUAAAACUCUGUUAUUAGGGAAGAACAUAUGUGUAAGUAACUGUGCACAUCUUGACGGUACCUAAUCAGAAAGCCACGGCUAACUACGUG
rnacentral:rRNA from 1 species